AAGCAGGCAGCAGAACCAAUGAUGGCUCCCUAUGUAGAUAUGAAGAGCUCAUUCUAAGCCAAUGAAAAGACAAGGAUUCUUAGUUUCAGCAGCAGUGCUUCGGACGAAGGCAAACACCACAUGAAGUCCAAAACAUUUAUCAGGACAAGAACAGCCAAAAGAGACUCUGCAUG